rnacentral:rRNA from 1 species
UACGAAGGGGGCUAGCGUUGUUCGGAAUUACUGGGCGUAAAGCGUAUGCAGGCGGAUCUCUAAGUCGGGGGUGAAAUCCUGAGGCUCAACCUCAGAACUGCCUUCGAUACUGGAGAUCUUGAGUCCGGGAGAGGUGAGUGGAACUGCGAGUGUAGAGGUGAAAUUCGUAGAUAUUCGCAAGAACACCAGUGGCGAAGGCGGCUCACUGGACCACAACUGACGCUGAGGCGCGAAAGCUAGGGGAGCAAACAGG